rnacentral:rRNA from 1 species
CCUACGGGGGGCAGCAGUGAGGAAUAUUGGUCAAUGGGCGCGAGCCUGAACCAGCCAAGUAGCGUGAAGGAUGACUGCCCUACGGGUUGUAAACUUCUUUUAUAAAGGAAUAAAGUGAGGCACGUGUGCCUUUUUGUAUGUAUCUUAUGAAUAAGCAUCGGCUAACUCCGUGCCAGCAGCCGCGGUAAUACGGAGGAUCCGAGCGUUAUCCGGAUUUAUUGGGUUUAAAGGGGGCGUAGAUGGGUUGUUAAGUCAGUUGUGAAAGUUUGCGGCUCAACCGUAAAAUUGCAGUUGAUACUGGCAGCCUUGAGUACAGUAGAGGUAGGCGGAAUGCGUGGUGUAGCGGUGAAAUGCUUAGAUAUCACGAAGAACUCCGAUUGCGAAGGCAGCCUACUAGACUGCAACUGACAUUGAUGCUCGAAAGUGUGGGUAUCAAACAGGAUUAGAUACCCUUGUAGUC